GCUCUUUGGCAUCGCCCAAGGAUGAGGCCGCGACCGAUCAGGUUGUUGGUGAGGUAAUGGCUCACCAAGCCUUUUACCGGUGCGGGCCGUGAGAGCGGGAGCCCGGAGAUGGGCACUGAGACAAGGGCCCAGGCCCUACGGGGCGCAGCAGUCGCGAAAACUUUGCAAUACACGAAAGUGUGACAGGGCUAUCCCGAGUGCCAUCCGCUGAGGAAGGCUUUUACCCAGUCUAGAACGCUGGGGGAAUAAGGAGAGGGCAAGUCUGGUGUCAGCCGCCGCGGUAAUACCAGCUCUCCGAGUGGUGUGGAUGUUUAUUGGGCCUAAAGCAUCCGUAGCUGGCUAAGUUAGUCCCUUGUUAAAUCCACCGAAUUAAUCGUUGGAUUGCGGGGGAUACUGCUUGGCUAGGGGACGAGAGAGGCAGACGGUAUUUCCGGGGUAGGGGUGAAAUCCUAUAAUCCCGGGAAGACCACCAGUGGCGAAGGCUGUCUGCUAGAACGCGCCCGACGGUGAGGGAUGAAAGCUGGGGGAGCGAACCGGAUUAGAUACCCGGGUAGUCCCAGCUGUAAACGAUGCAGGCUAGGUGUUUGGACGGCCACGUGCCGUUCUAGUGCCGCAGGGAAGCUGUUAAGCCUGCCGCCUGGGGAGUACGAUCGCAAGAUUGAAACUUAAAGGAAUUG
rnacentral:rRNA from 1 species